GGCUCAGUUGGUAGAGUACGACCUUGCCAAGGUCGGGGUCGCGGGUUCGAACCCCGUC
rnacentral:tRNA from 2 species